rnacentral:lncRNA from 1 species
GCUAGAUAGGGAGAGAGGGUAGGUGGUUCUUAGUUGGAAAUGAAAACAGGAGGGAUGCUUUGUUCUGGGAGAGUGGGUGCUUAGGCUGAGGCUUUUUCCAGACAAGGAUUUCGAUACCCAGAGCACAGCAGAGAUGGCUCCGACGGUUCCCUCGUAUGGAUUUUUACCCUAGUGGAGCUUGUAGUUCUCGUAACAGAAAUCAAAGACUGUAAGUGUAUCCUGCCUGGACUGCUCAUAUUGCUGGUGACAAGUGAUGCUAAAGUGACUGCACUGUCAGCUACUGGAAGCCUCGGGCGACGUGCAGCAGGGCUACAUACAGGGCUGGUUGCCUUAACUUCUUUUGACAUUUCUUCUCUCUGA